GAUGAAGAACGCAGCGAAAUGCGAUACGUAAUGUGAAUUGCAAAUUCAGUGAAUCAUCGAGUCUUUGAACGCACAUUGCGCCCCCUGGUAUUCCGGGGGGCGUGCCUGUCCGAGCGUCAUUGCUGCCCUCAAGCACGGCUUGUGUGUUGGGCCCCGUCCUCCGAUCCCGGGGGACGGGCCCGAAAGGCAGCGGCGGCACCGCGUCCGGUCCUCGAGCGUAUGGGGCUUUGUCACCCGCUCUGUAGGCCCGGCCGGCGCUUGCCGAUCAACCCAAAUUUUUAUCCAGGUUGACCUCGGAUCAGGUAGGGAUACCCGCUGAACUUAAGCAUAUCAAUAAGCGGAGGA
rnacentral:misc_RNA from 1 species